CAAUAGCGUAUAUUAAAGUUGUUGCGGUUAAAAGCUCGUAGUUGGAUUUCUGCCGAGGACGACCGGUCCGCCCUCUGGGUGAGUAUCUGGCUUGGCCUGGGCAUCUUCUUGGAGAACGUAGCUGCACUUGACUGUGUGGUGCGGUAUCCAGGACUUUUACUUUGAGGAAAUUAGAGUGUUUCAAGCAGGCAUGCGCCUUGAAUACAUUAGCAUGGAAUAAUAAGAUAGGACCUCGGUUCUAUUUUGUUGGUUUCUAGAGCUGAGGUAAUGAUUAAUAGGGAUAAUUGGGGGCAUUCGUAUAUACGCGUCAGAGGUGGAAUUCUUGGAUUGCGUAUCGACGAACUACUGCGAAAGCAUUUGCCAAGGAUGUUUUCAUUGAUCAAGAACGAAAGUAUGGGGAUCGAAGACGAUCAGAUACCAU
rnacentral:rRNA from 1 species